AGGCCCGUUAGCAGCCACGCGCAUCGGGCCCAGGCACGCACCGCACUCCUUACGGCGCGAAGGAGCAGCUCCCAUCCCACUUGCAGGGGGCGCGGCGGGCGGGGGGUUGGCAGGACUGGAGCCUCACACUGCCAGGGGUCGUCUCUGCCCCAGGUCCAGCCCUGCCCAAGCCCACCCCCGUGAUGCGAACCGUCAUUGCCUUUUUUGCUUGAGCCAGUCUGAGCUGAAUGUCUCCAUCUUGCAACUACAAGAAUCCUAACACAUCCUCGUGAAAGAAAACAGUCAUUACACAAAUUGUGUUUCCUGUCAUCACAGUUUCCAGAUGGGAAACGAGGUCCAGAGCUUGAGGAGACCAUCCAAGGCGCACAACAAGCCGAGCUGCCGAGGCGGGACCACGAGUCAGAGCUGCCCCCUCCGAGGCACCUCCCCGCCCUACGCUGUCCUCUGGCUUGAAAGGGAAGGGAAAAUGUGCCUGACAGCCGUCCAAGGCACAGGCAUUGACAGCUGGGCCGUUUCACCCAAACACAGACACGGUCUGAGGCGAGAAUGCCCCCCAGCCGCACCUUCAAACGUGAGAACAGCUGAGAGCUCAAAUUAAAUGAUUCAAAAGCCCCAGGAUACAGCUGCUGCCGCCCAGGCACAGGUGUCACAGGCGGGUCACAGUGACCGGGUUCACGCCAACCGUAACCAACGGCACCGCAGCACAUGGCUUUGCAACCGGCCUCGCAGAGAAGCCGGCCGCUAAUUGCAGCAGAGCAAGGCUAUGCUUGUUCCCGAACGAGGUGAUCAGUGAGCAAACACCAGACGGAAUAAACUCUGGGGUGAUGGAUGGGUGCGUGUAUUACAUGCCAGACCCUGAGGGACGUGGGGCUGCUGAGCCAAGGCCCAUGCACACAUCCAGAAUGCACAACCUCGGCCGUAUCAGCGAGUGACUGGGCAAUGCUGCCAGACGUUACGGGGAAAGGAAAACCCACCGUGGGGGAAACAUCAAGAGGUAACGGGCCACUGCCGCUAACAAGAGGCGCAUGCACUCUUUCCACCACCGGCCAAUUAUCAGGGAGUGUUGCGGCAGCCGAGGCACAACCCAAGGCAGUGCCCAUAUAUCUGGACUCGGAGCCGUCUCUGCGCCCAGAGACCUCCGCCUGCACACACGCCCGAGCUCAGACCAUGGGAAUCGGCAGUUCACGUCAAGGUGGUGCUGGGACUUCUUAGAAAGCAGUCUCCGGGUGCUGCCGGGUCUGCACGAGGCCAGCUCAGCCCUCUGGCCUUUCCCACCCAAGGCAUCUUCUCCGUCCCUCUCUAGACCUAGCACCGCCCUGUCUGUCCCUCUGAUGCCGUGUCCACCAUUCAAUCAAGAGCUAAUGAAUGCCUGUAGCAGAAAUGAAUCCCAAGGUAUUUGUGACUGAAGCGGCAUGGUCAACGCUCACGCAAAAUAAAAUAUCUUGUACUCCUUCAUUAAGCAGGGACAAACCAAA